rnacentral:rRNA from 1 species
UACGUAGGGUGCAAGCGUUGUCCGGAAUUAUUGGGCGUAAAGAGCUCGUAGGCGGUUUGUCGCGUCUGCCGUGAAAACCCGAGGCUUAACCUCGUGGCUUGCGGUGGAUACGGGCAGACUAGAGGUAGGUAGGGGAGAAUGGAAUUCCCGGUGUAGCGGUGAAAUGCGCAGAUAUCAGGAGGAACACCCGUGGCGAAGGCGGCUCUCUGGGACGGUACUGACGCUGAGACGCGAAAGCGUGGGGAGCGAACAGG